CCCGCCAGCACUGCCAAAAACGUGUGAGUUCUUCGUCGCCGGAAACCCUGCUUUCUCUUGAUCACAUCGCCGGAGCCCGAGAGAGAGAGAGAGAAAAAGAGAGCGAUGGGGAGGAAACCGUACCGUAAAAUCAAGGUUUCGCCAUUGCCGAUGGCUUCGAUCUCGCCACCUUCCUCCCACGGGUCUCUGAGUUCACUCAUAUUCAGCUCCGGCGCCAAAGCCGGUGGCUCAUCCUCCAAAUCCAAGGCCAGGAGCUUCCACAUCAAGGCAAGAACAGACGGCGUCUCCAGCAUCGGCGCUUCGCCAUCUGGCAAAACCCCGGCAUCCGUGUCCGACCUCAAGGAUUUCGCCUCCUCGAGCUUGGACGACCUCAAGCGCCACCUCGACCGCUCUCACUCCGCGAUCCUCAAGGACUUCGAGGCCUCUCACUCCCGCCUCCAUAAGCGAUUUAAGAUGCAAACACAAUCAUGCCAACAACUCAUGGAUAAAGUGGAUGAGGAGUGUCGGAAGAUAUCUGAGCAGAUUAAUGAAACUCAGAAUGCGAUGAAGGAAACCUACACGGAGUUCAUGGAAGAUGUUCAAGCCAGUUCAUCUCGAUGUAUGUCUGUUGCACACUCUCUAUCGGGAUCUUUUCUCAGUUGCCUCGACUUAGGUUGAACUCUAAAGGACACUUAUAACAUCUGUAUGCAAGACAUCCAUCCCAGAGCUUCUGAAGUCCUUUGAGAAGGCAAUUGAUGAUAUCCGCAGCCGUUCUGGAAUUGCAUCAACUUAGGCACAUUCAUGAAUCCAAGGAAUUAGCUUUAUGGCAGGAGAAAGGCAAAUUUGGAUGCAGCACACGAUUCUCUAACUACCGGAUCGAGUUCUAGCAUUUUCUUCGGAUAGUUUAAUGUGAUUCCUAUAGUCAUAUUUUAAACCCAAUCUUACCAUUACACAGUCAAGAAUAAGAUUUUACGGACACCACAUCAUACAUGAGAGCAUCGAGGAGUAUGCUUGGACGUGGAAGUGCAGAUUCCGUGGUUCAUGGUUCAACAGUAAUAUUUUCCUUUUUAACAGCGUGGGAGGCUUGAAAGCAUAUCAUAAGUAAAUUUUUGGAAACACUUGCCCAGCAUUUCACCGUGCGCACAAUCAGUAUGCAUUAUUCUCAUUAUCGAUUUGACAGCUGUGUAUCGCUGCGGCUUUUAUUAGACUAGUGUACACUGUGCAGAGAAUCCCGACACUUCAAUUACAAUUGUACUUUUUUGUUGAGCAGGAUGCGAUGAAAGUUAGUCGUUCGCCAAAAGUCUGA